rnacentral:rRNA from 1 species
UACGUAGGGGGCAAGCGUUGUCCGGAAUCAUUGGGCGUAAAGCGCGUGUAGGCGGCCAGGUAAGUCCGUUCUGAAAGCCCGGGGCUCAACCCCGGGAGGCGGAUGGAUACUGCUUGGCUCGAGUCCGGAAGAGGCGAGUGGAAUUCCCGGUGUAGCGGUGAAAUGCGCAGAUAUCGGGAGGAACACCGAUGGCGAAGGCAGGUCUCUGGGCUGACACUGACGCUC